ACGACCUUACUUAAACAUGAUUUGUUCUAUAGGCUCGUACCUCUGUAUCAUUGAGUUCUAAGGAGACAGGAAAUCAAACCUAGCUCUGAUACCAAGACAGAGAGUUCUUCACAAAGGUAUUUCACUCUUCAGUCUAUUAACAUGGUAUCAGAGCCAUAGCAAUAAAAAAAUUGUUACACAAUUGUGAAGAACUCUCUGUGUUGGUAUCAGAGCUAGGUU
rnacentral:snoRNA from 1 species